GAUUUCUGGCGAAACUGCUAGCUGGCCCGCCACGUCAGUGUGUGAGUGCCGGCUUGGCGUUUGCCAUCCGUUCGAAUGAUAUGUAUACUGCCCUUCACUGGGUUGGUAUUUUCAUGUUUUCGAUCUUUUACUUUGAAAAAAUUAGAGUGUUUCAAGCAGGCAUUUUUGCUAUGAAUACAUUAGCAUGGAAUAAUAAUCUAGGACUUUCGGUUCUAUUUUGUUGGUGUUCUGGAGCUGAAGUAAUGAUUGAUAGGGAUAGUUGGGGGUGCUAGUAUUCAAUGGCCAGAGGUGAAAUUCUCGGAUUCCUUGAAGACUAACUUAUGCGAAAGCAUU
rnacentral:rRNA from 1 species